rnacentral:rRNA from 1 species
UGGGGAAUUUUGCACAAUGGGGGAAACCCUGAUGCAGCGACGCCGCGUGAUUUAGAAGGCCUUCGGGUUGUAAAAAUCUUUUCUAUGGGAAGAAAAUGACAGUACCAUAGGAAUAAGGACCGGCUAAUUACGUGCCAGCAGCCGCGGUAAUACGUAAGGUCCGAGCGUUGUCCGGAAUCAUUGGGCGUAAAGGGUACGUAGGCGGGUAAGCAAGUUAGAAGUGAAAUCCUAUAGCUCAACUAUAGUAAGCUUUUAUAACUGCUCAUCUUGAGGUAUGGAAGGGAAAGUGGAAUUCCUAGUGUAGCGGUGAAAUGCGCAGAUAUUAGGAGGAAUACCGGUGGCGAAGGCGACUUUCUGGCCAUAACCUGACGCUGAGGUACGAAAGCGUGGGUAGCAAACAGG